GACUGGUUCGAGAUGAUAGAAAUGCAACAGUAACUCAAAUAACCACUCGUUACAACCAAGGUAUGCAGAAUAUCAUCUCUAAAUGCACAACAUUGUUAUUUAAUUUU